AUUGAACGCUGGCGGCAUGCUUUACACAUGCAAGUCGAACGGCAGCACAGGGAGCUUGCUCCCGGGUGGCGAGUGGCGCACGGGUGAGUAAUACAUCGGAACGUGUCCUGUUGUGGGGGAUAACUGCUCGAAAGGGUGGCUAAUACCGCAUGAGACCUGAGGGUGAAAGCGGGGGAUCGCAAGACCUCGCGCAAUUGGAGCGGCCGAUGCCCGAUUAGCUAGUUGGUGAGGUAAUGGCCCACCAAGGCAACGAUCGGUAGCCGGACUGAGAGGUUGAACGGCCACAUUGGGACUGAGACACGGCCCAGACUCCUACGGGAGGCAGCAGUGGGGAAUAUUGCACAAUGGGGGAAACCCUGAUGCAGCGACGCCGCGUGGAGGAAGAAGGUCUUCGGAUUGUAAACUCCUGUUGUUGGGGAAGAUAAUGACGGUACCCAACAAGGAAGUGACGGCUAACUACGUG
rnacentral:rRNA from 1 species